rnacentral:rRNA from 1 species
GACGAACGCUGGCGGCGUGCUUAACACAUGCAAGUCGAACGGAAAGGCCCUGCUUUUGUGGGGUGCUCGAGUGGCGAACGGGUGAGUAACACGUGAGUAACCUGCCCUUGACUUUGGGAUAACUUCAGGAAACUGGGGCUAACACCGGAUAGGAGCUCCUGCUGCAUGGUGGGGGUUGGAAAGUUUCGGCGGUUGGGGAUGGACUCGCGGCUUAUCAGCUUGUUGGUGGGGUAGUGGCUUACCAAGGCUUUGACGGGUAGCCGGCCUGAGAGGGUGACCGGCCACAUUGGGACUGAGAUACGGCCCAGACUCCUACGGGAGGCAGCAGUGGGGAAUAUUGCACAAUGGGCGGAAGCCUGAUGCAGCAACGCCGCGUGCGGGAUGACGGCCUUCGGGUUGUAAACCGCUUUCGCCUGUGACGAAGCGUGAGUGACGGUAAUGGGUAAAGAAGCACCGGCUAACUACGU